rnacentral:rRNA from 1 species
CAAAUAGCGUAUAUUAAAGUUGUUGCAGUUAAAAAGCUCGUAGUUGAAUUUCGGGGUUAGUAGGUUGGUCAUGCCUCUGGUAUGUACUGGUCUCACUGAUUCCUCCUUCCUGAUGAACCGUAAUGCCAUUAAUUUGGUGUUGCGGGGAAUUUGGACUGUUACUUUGAAAAAAUUAGAGUGUUUAAAGCAAGCUAACGCUUGAAUACAUUAGCAUGGAAUAAUGAAAUAGGACGUUCGAUCCUAUUUUGUUGGUUUCUAGGAUUGACGUAAUGAUUAAUAGGGAUAGUUGGGGGCAUUAGUAUUCAAUUGUCAGAGGUGAAAUUCUUGGAUUUAUUGAAGACUAACUACUGCGAAAGCAUUUGCCAAGGAUGUUUUCAUUAAUCAAGAACGAAAGUUAGGGGAUCGAAGACGAUCAGAUACCGUCGUAGUCUUAACCAUAAACUAUGCCGACUAGGGAUCGGAUGAUGUUAAUUUUUUAAUGACUCAUUCGGCGCCUUACG